GCCCGGGUGGUGGAAUUGGUAGACACGAGGGACUUAAAAUCCCUUGGCCGUAAGGCCGUGCGGGUUCAAGUCCCGCCCCGGGUA
rnacentral:tRNA from 2 species